UGAAUACGAGAUGCUACGGCGUCGAAGCAGUCUAUGUCAUACUUCCAAGAAAAGCUUGCACUGUCAUAAACAAAUAAUGCCUGUACCAUAACCGACACAGGUGGGUAGGUAGAGUAUACUAAGGGGCGCGAGAUAACUCUCUCUAAGGAACUCGGCAAAAUGACUCCGUAACUUCGGGAGAAGGAGUGCCUUAUUUAUAAGGUUGCAAUAACAAGAUCCAAGCAACUGUUUACCAAAAACACAGGUCUCCGCUAAGUCGUAAGACGAUGUAUGGGGGCUGACGCCUGCCCAGUGCCAGAAGGUUAAAGAAGUUGGUUAGCAUCCGCGAAGCUGAUAACUGAAGCCCUGGUGAACGGCGGCCGUAACGAUAACGGUCCUAAGGUAGCGAAAUUCCUUGUCGGGUAAGUUCCGACCCGCACGAAAGGCGUAAUGAUUUGGAUACUGUCUCGGAGAGGGGCUCGGUGAAAUAGACUUGUCUGUGAAGAUGCGGACUACCUGCACCAGGACAGAAAGACCCUAUGAAGCUUUACUGUAACCUGAAAUUGAAAUUGGACUUUACUUGCGCAGUAUAGGUGGGAGGCGUUGAGAAUAUUCUUGCGGGAUUAUUGGAGCCAUCAGUGAGAUACCACUCUUGUAAUGUUAGAUUUCUAACUUUGUAUCAUUAUCUGGUCAAAGAACAGUUUCAGGCGGGCAGUUUGACUGGGGCGGUCGCCUCCUAAACGGUAACGGAGGCGCACAAAGGUUUCCUCUGAACGGGUAGAAAUCGUAUCUAGAGUGUAAAGGCAUAAGGAAGCUUGACUGUGAGACCUACAAGUCGAGCAGGGACGAAAGUCGGUCUUAGUGAUCUGACGGUGCUGAGUGGAAAGGCCGUCACUCAACGGAUAAAAGUUACUCUAGGAUAACAGGCUGAUCUCCCCCAAGAGUUCACAUCGACGGGGAGGUUUGGCACCUCGAUGUCGGCUCAUCGCAUCCUGGGGCGGUAGUACGUCCCAAGGGUUGGGCUGUUCGCCCAUGAAAGCGGUACGCGAGCUGGGUUCAGAACGUCGUGAGACAGUUCGGUCCAUAUCCGGUGUAGGCGUUAGAAUAUUGAGAGGAGCCUUCUUUAGUACGAGAGGACCGAGAAGGACAUACCUCUGGUGUACCAGUUAUCGUGCCAACGGUAAACGCUGGGUAGCUAUGUGUGGAGUGGAUAACCGCUGAAAGCAUCUAAGUGGGAAGCCCACCUCAAGAUAAGUAUUCUC
rnacentral:rRNA from 1 species